GCUGGGCGUGGUGGUGGGCACCUGUAAUCCCAACUACUCUGGAGGCUGAGGCAGGAGAAUAGCUUGAACCCGGGAGGUGGAGGUUGCAGUGAGCCGAAAUCGUGUCAUUGCACUCCAGCCUGGGCGACAAGAGCAAGACUCCAUCUUUUUUUUUUUUUUCUUUUUUUUGAGACGGAGUCUCGCUCUGUCGCCCAGGCUGGAGUGCAGUGGCGCAAUCUCGGCUCACUGCAAGUUCUGCCUCCCGGGUUCAAGGGAUUCUCCUGCCUCAG
rnacentral:SRP_RNA from 1 species